AAAUUUUGUUAGAUUUAAAGAUUUUUUUUUUUAAACACUUUUCUUUUCUGUUCUUUUCUUCUCUACUCUCCACUCCUGAGCCAAUUUUUGUGCUCUCUUCAGAGACGCCAUUGUUAUCUACUCCACUCUCACUUGCUAUUACCUCUGGCUACUUCUUCAGCCCAUCCAAGCAUCAUUCACUGCUUCCAUCUACGGUUAUUGCCUCCUUCCAGCAGAUCCAGGUUGUUUCCAAAUCUACAAGCAACCAGCCCCUAAUAAUUUUUGCUAAGACAAUUCUCGUAAGGACAGGAGAACAGGAUGAAGGUCAAUGUCUUGCGUAUCCUUAUUGAUAUAUAAUAUGUUUGACUAGUUUGACUUAAAAAUUCAGAUUAUGCAAUGUAUAUAACUGCUCCUUAUCUCUAUUCUCUGCUCUCUCAUUAAAUUAGAUUUAUGAUGUCAACUUCAUGUAAGUUUGCCUAUUAGAGAG